rnacentral:rRNA from 1 species
AGAUUGAACGCUGGCGGCAGGCCUAACACAUGCAAGUCGAGCGGCAGCACGGGUACUUGUACCUGGUGGCGAGCGGCGGACGGGUGAGUAAUGCCUAGGAAUCUGCCUGGUAGUGGGGGAUAACGCUCGGAAACGGACGCUAAUACCGCAUACGUCCUACGGGAGAAAGCAGGGGACCUUCGGGCCUUGCGCUAUCAGAUGAGCCUAGGUCGGAUUAGCUAGUUGGUGAGGUAAUGGCUCACCAAGGCGACGAUCCGUAACUGGUCUGAGAGGAUGAUCAGUCACACUGGAACUGAGACACGGUCCAGACUCCUACGGGAGGCAGCAG